GUACUCCUGGAAUGUUCGAGAACCUGCUGUAUUGAACCUACAUGACUGAAACGGGAUUCCUAUAGGCGAAGGAUAUGUCAGGCCUCAGUAUAAUUCCCUUUGGGCAGAGGAAGACAAACUCCUUGGCUGCGGUUGCCCACCUGGCUUAGGCUAGGUGUCAAAAGGUAGGAACGGCAUUCCGGGUAAUAC
rnacentral:other from 1 species